AACAGAUAAUCGCAGAUGCAGUACCGAAAGGAAGCAUAUGAGGAAAGUCCGGGCUUCGCAGGGCAGGAUGCCGGAUAACGUCCGGUGGAGGUGACUCCAAGGCAAGUGCAACAGAAAUAUACCGCCACUAUUGUGGUAAGGGUGGAAAGGCAGUUUAAGAGACUACCGCUGUGAUGGUAACAUUGCAGGCACAUGUAAACCCCAUCCGAAGCAAGACCGAACAGAAAACGAUUGGCGGCCCGUCAGGUUUUCGGGUAGGUUGCUUGAUUCUAUUGGCAACAAUAGAACUAGACAGAUGAUUAUCAAAAACAUAACCCGGCUUACAGUUCUGCUCAA
rnacentral:RNase_P_RNA from 1 species